rnacentral:rRNA from 1 species
UACAGAGGUCUCAAGCGUUGUUCGGAUUCAUUGGGCGUAAAGGGUGCGUAGGCGGUGUCGUAAGUCGGAUGUGAAAUCCCGGGGCUUAACUUCGGAACUGCAUUCGAUACUGCGAUACUCGAGGACUCGAGAGGAGAUUGGAAUUCACGGUGUAGCAGUGAAAUGCGUAGAGAUCAUGAGGAAGACCAGUGGCGAAGGCGGGUCUCUGGACAGUUCCUGACACUGAGACACGAAGGCCAGGGGAGCAAACGGG